rnacentral:rRNA from 1 species
GGGGGACUCCGAGUGUGAGGGCAUAUAGCCCUCGCUUUUCUGUACCGUAAGGUGGUACAGGAACAAGGACUGGGCAAGACCGGUGCCAGCCGCCGCGGUAAUACCGGCAGUCCAAGUGAUGGCCGAUAUUAUUGGGCCUAAAGCGUCCGUAGCUUGCUGGGCAAGUCCAUUGGGAAAUCGACCCGCUCAACUGGUCGGCGUCCGGUGGAAACUGCCCGGCUUGGGGCCGAAAGACUCGACGGGUACGUCCGGGGUAGGAGUGAAAUCCUGUAAUCCUGGACGGACCACCAAUGGGGAAACCACGUUGAGAGAACGGACCCGACAGUGAGGGACGAAAGCCAGGGUCUCGAACCGGAUUAGAUACCCGGGUAGUCCUGGCUGUAAACAAUGCUCGCUAGGUAUGUCACACGCCACGAGCACGUGAUGCGCCGUAGUGAAGACGAUAAGCGAGCCGCCUGGGAAGUACGUCCGCAAGGAUGAAACUUAAAGGAAUUGGCGGGGGAGCACCACAACCGGAGGAGCCUGCGGUUUAAUUGGACUCAACGCCGGACAUCUCACCGGUCCCGACAGUAGUAAUGACGGUCAGGUUGACGACUUUACCCGACGCUACUGAGA